GGCUGGAGACAAAUGUGGAACGUCAAGGACAAGGCGAGUAAGCAAUAAUGGAUGAAAAUGAUGAUGAACGUGGAGGACAAAGAUCAAGACCCUGUGUGGGAUUUUCGGAGAGAUGCCAUGCACACACUCUGAUUCUUCAUUUGCUGAAUAGGCAGGUGGUGAAGGUAAUGGAGUUUGGAGUGGAGUCUCCCAUGUUUAUC